rnacentral:rRNA from 1 species
GAUGAACGCUGGCGGCGUGCCUAAUACAUGCAAGUCGAGCGAACAGACGAGGAGCUUGCUCCUCUGACGUUAGCGGCGGACGGGUGAGUAACACGUGGAUAACCUACCUAUAAGUCUGGGAUAACUUCGGGAAACCGGAGCUAAUACCGGAUAAUAUAUUGAACCGCAUGGUUCAAUAGUGAAAGACGGUGUUGCUGUCACUUAUAGAUGGAUCUGCGCCGCAUUAGCUAGUUGGUAAGGUAACGGCUUACCAAGGCAACGAGGCGUAGCCGACCGGAGAGGCGGAUCGGCCACAUUGGAACUGAGACACGGACCAGACUCCUAAGGGAGGCAGCAGUAGGGAAUGUUCCGCAAUGGGCGAAAGCAUGACGGAGCAACGCCGCGUGAGAGACGACGGUCUCCCGAGCGUAAAACCGGGUUAUUAGGGAAGAACAAAUGUGUAAGUAAAUAUGCACGUAUUGACGGUACCUAAUCAGAAAGCAACGGCUAACUACGUG